UCAAAUCUGAUCUCAGAUCUGAUCUGAUCUGAGUGUGCAAAACAAUACUUUAACCGUUGACCAUCACCAUAUAUCUGAACCACUGAAUACAACAACUCUUCACAUUCAAGCCCUUCACAAAUCACAACAUAACCUAUUUCAUCUACAUUCAUUCUCACCAGUCCGUAUGGCUGAACCCAUGACUUCUGCCCUCGUCCGUCUGCUCAUUGAGAAGCUGGUCUCUGAAACUUCCAAAAACAUUGCUCACUACAAGGGAAUCGGUGCUGAGAUUGAGAAAUGUCAGAAGUCGUUCAAACUCAUCGAAGCUGUGCUUACUGAUGCUUAUCAGAAGGAGAUAACCAGUCCACCUGUUAAAGUAUGGCUGAAUGAUCUCCAACAUUUGGCGUAUGACAUGGAUGACAUACUCGAUGGUUGGGCAACCGAAGCUAUGCAUCGUGAGUUCACCACCCACGACUCAGAAGGCAUCACCAGCAAGGUAAGAAAGCUGAUCCCAAGUUGUUGCACAAGCUUCUCACCAACUAUUAAGAUGCAUCACAAGUUAGAGAGUAUUAACACCAAAUUAGAAGGUCUACUUAAGCAGAAACUUGAGUAUGGUUUGAGUGAGACAGAGGAAAUUAGUAGGCCCAAAAAUGAUAAUAGAAGAUUACAAACCUCUGUUUUUGAUCCAUCUACUAUUGUUGGACGCCAAGCUGAGAAAGAGGAAUUGGUCCAACGAUUAUUGUUAUUGGAUGGUGAACCACGUGAUAAAAACUAUAGCAUUGUUCCCAUAGUUGGUAUGGGUGGGGUUGGAAAAACUACUCUAGCUGGGCUUUUGUAUAACGAUGUACAAGUCCAGGAUCACUUCCAACUCAAGGUGUGGAUUUGCAUCUCAGAUGAGUUCGAUAUCUUUGUGAGAAGCAAAGAGAUCUUUGUAGCUUUUGGAGGUGAGGUAAAGGAAGAACAUAAGAAUUUUGAUAAACUUCAAGAAGCUCUUAGAGAUCACCUAACAGGAAAAAGAUUUUUGUUGGUGUUAGAUGAUGUGUGGAGUGAGAGUCGUGAGGAUUGGGAAACCCUCAUCAGACCCUUUUAUACAUGUUCUCCAGGAAGUAAAGUCAUCAUAACAACACGAAAGGAUACAUUGCUAAAAAAGCUUGGUUACAAUUCUCUAUACAAGCAUCUUGAGAGCCUGUCAGAUGAUGAUGCUCUAUCUUUGUUUGCUCUACAUGCAUUAGGCGUAAGAAAUUUUGAUUCACAUUUGUCGCUUAAACCUCAUGGUGAAGGUAUAGUGGGAAAAUGUAAAAAAUUGCCUUUGGCGUUGAUCGCACUUGGGACAUCACUGAGGACAAAAAAAGAUGAAGAUUCAUGGAAGAGAGUGUUAGAAAGUGAGAUAUGGACAUCACGAGUUGAAGGUGAAGUCAUCCCAGCCUUGAGACUUAGCUAUCAUGAUCUUUCGGCACCUUUGAAGCAGUUGUUUGCAUACUGCUCAUUAUUCCCCAAGGACUUCUUGUUUGACAAGGAGGAUCUGGUUUUACAAUGGAUGGCGGAAGGGUUCUUGCACCAGGAAAUUCGAAGAAAUUCAACAGAAGAAUGCAUGGGUCAUGAAUUCUUUGACGAGUUGUUGUCAAGGUCAUUUUUUCAACAUGCACCUAAUAAUGAAUCGUUAUUUGUGAUGCAUGACCUCAUGAACGACUUGGCGACAUCUGUUGCUACCGAGUUUUAUUUCAGGUUAGACAACGAGUCAGAGAAGAAUAUUAAGAAGAUGAAGCUAGAUAAGUACCGCCAUAUGUCAUUUGUUCACGAGGAUUAUGUAGCUUACAAGAAGCUCGAGGUAUUUGAAAGACCCAAAUGCCUAAGGACAUUCUUGGCAACAUCUGCUGGGGAGAUGAAAGGUUGGCGAUUUUUUUACUUAUCUAAUAAGAUUCUCACUGAUUUACUUCCUGAGUUACCAUUAUUAAGGGUUCUAAGUUUGACUCGUUUUAUAAUACGUGAGGUACCGGAGUCCAUUGGUACUUUGAGGCACUUGAGAUAUCUUAAUCUCUCUCGAACUAGUAUCACACGUUUACCAGAAAACCUUUGCAAUCUCUACAAUUUACAAUCAUUGAUCCUAGUUGGUUGUUUUGGAUUAACUAAGUUUCCCAACAACUUCCUAAAGCUUAAAAAUCUGCGGCAUCUUGAUGUUAGGGACACCCAACUUUCAUUUAAGAUGUUGUCAGGGAUUGGCGAGUUGAGAAGUCUACAUAUUAAUCUCUCGAAAAUCAUUAUCGAAAGCGAAGAUGGAUUUGAAAUAGCCAAACUUAAAGACUUUAAGAGUAUAUAUGGGAAAAUUUCUGUUGUAGGUUUGGAAAAAGUGCAAAAUGCAAUUCAUGCACAUGAGGCGAACUUUUCACAAAAGAAGCUUAGUGAGUUAGAGCUUGAAUGGAGUGACGGGCUAUAUGAUUCACGAAGUGGAAUGCUUAAAAAAGAGGUCCUAAAUGAGCUAAAGCCUUGUCAAGAUGAGUUAAUAAGACUCAAAAUUAGGUCAUAUGGGGGACUGGAGUUUCCAAAGUGGGUUGGGGAUCCUUCAUUUCUUCAUUUGAAGCAUGUGUCAAUAAGUGGUUGGAAGAGAUGUAGAUCAAUACCGCCACUAGGACAACUACCACCACUAGGACAAGUACCGUCACUGAAGGAGUUGUUAAUUGAAGGCUUACAUGGAGUGGAAGUUGUGGGUUUUGAGUUAUUUGGGACUGGUCAAGCAUUUCCUUCACUUGAAAUUCUGCGUUUUGAUGAUAUGCGUAGGUGGAAGAAAUGGUCAGGGGCUGUGUUUCCACGCUUGCAAAAGCUUCAAAUACGUGAAUGUCCUAAUUUGGUUGAAGUCACACUUGAAGCUAUGCCUUCAUUGAAUGUUCUUGAAAUACGUGAUUGUCCUAAUUUUGUUGAAGUCACACUUGAAGCACUGUCUUCAUUGAAUGUUCUAGAAUUAGAUACCUGUGAUAGUCGUGUGUUGACAAGUCUAGUUGAAGUAGCAUCAGCAGUCACUAAGUUGAGAAUAAGGCUUAUUUCUGGGCUUAAUGAUGUGGUGUGGGGAGGUGUUACAGAGUGUCUUGGGGCAGUUGAAGAAUUAAAGAUAGAGUAUUGUAAUGAAAUAAGAUGCCUGGUGAAAUCAGAUGCAGAUGCAAGUAAGAAGAUUCUUGUGAAGCUGAGGACAUUGGUAGUGGAGCAUUGUGAGAAUAUGGAGCGUUGCAGUUGUCCAGAUGGCGUUGAGGAGUUGACUGUAUCGAGUUGUAGUUCAAUGACAGUUGUCUCGUUUCCAAAAGGAGGACAGGAGAAGCUCAGGUCACUCAGAAUAUGGUAUUGCAGGAACCUAUUGGAAAAGGAGUGGGAGUGGGGAGGACAAGAAAUGAACAUCAGCAGAAGCAGCAGCAUGCCCAUGCUUGAACAUGUAUCUAUAAGUAAUUGGCCAGAUCUGAAAUCAAUCACUGAAUUGAACUGCUUGGUUCACCUCACUGAAUUGAUUAUAUACAACUGUGAAAACCUUGAGUCAUUUCCAGACACUUUAACAUCGUUAAAGAAACUGGAAAUAAGAAAUUGUCCCAAAUUGGAUGUUUCCAGUCUUGGUGACAAUUUGAUAUCAUUGGAGAGACUAGAAAUAAGUAAUUGUCCCAAAUUGGAUGUUUCCAGUCUUGGUGACAAUAUGACAUCAUUGAAGGAACUGAGCAUAAGAGAGUGUCCAAGAAUGGAUGCUUCUUUACCUGCUUGGGUUUGGCCUCCCAAUUUGCAAAUCUUAAAAAUUAACAAGUUGAAGAAGCCCUUCUUCGAGUGGGGCCCACAAAAUUUUCCAACCUCACUUGUGGAACUAAGGUUGUACGGUGGUGGUGAAGAAGGAGCUCGUAGUUGUAAUCAAUUUUCUCAUAAUCUUCCUUCAUCUCUUACUUGUCUUAAAAUAAAUGAAUUUGAGAAAUUGGAAUCUUUUUCGGUGGGACUCCAACAUCUCCAACGUCUCUCUUUUGAACAUUGCCCUAAUCUGAAGAAAGUGUCUUCGCAUCCCCAACUCCUCACCUCCCUCCACCAUCUCUCUUUUGGCGAUUGCCCUAAGAUGAAGGAUCUACCAGAAAUGUUGUUGCCUUCACUCUUGAGUUUAAGCAUCUUGGGUGAUUGCCCUCUGGAAGAAAGAUGCUGUAAAAACGGGAGUUACUGGCCCCUCAUCUCCCAUAUCCCCUGUAUGUAUUAAUGGAGUUAAUAUGAAGGAAGAGAGGUUGAAGAAGCCCAUCUCAGAGUGGGUUCCACAUAAUUUUCCAGCCUCACUUGUGGAACUAUACUUAUACGGUGGUGGUGAAUGGUGAUGAUGGAGCUCUCUUUUUGGCGAUUGCCGUAAGAUGACGGAUCUACCAGAAAUGUUGCUGCCUUCACUUUUGAGUUUAAGCAUCUGGGAUUAUCGCCCAGGAGGAGGUCUGAAAGAAAGAUGCAGUCAAAACGGGAGUUACUGGCCCCUCAUCUCCCAUAUCCCCUGUAUUGACAUAAUGACAUGCAAUGAAAUUAAUAUCAAGGCUCAAUUGUGAUGGGUAGCCUUUUACACUUUCUACUGCAAAUUUGGCAACCUUCACAGCAGGGAGCAAAACUUGAUUGGAAGAUUAUGAUGUUGGCUACCUUUUUCCUUUGUUUUUUGUCUAUACCUAUUAGUAAUUAGUUGACUUGGAUUCUAUUUUGUUGGUAACGGGUGCAGAUUGUAUUUUGUGUGUAGUAUACCUAUUACUCUAUUAGGCCGGAGGGUGUGGAGGGCGCCACCACCCACACCGGCAGGCACCAUUGAAGGGGCUUCAACAUGGUAACGAGCCAAGUGGUGAUUGGUUGCAGGUGGGGGCGCUAUAGUUUGAAGGGGGGGCUUUAUCUCACACCCUGCAAGUUAAGGGAAGGCAUGAUAAAGCCCCCUGGCUGACGUGGAUCUGAUGUGACGUGAUAAAGCCUCUAGGGGCUUUAUCCCACACCUCAUAACCUUAGUGAUUGGUGCAUCACUAAUGUUAGUUGUGACUAUUUCAUCAUUUUAUUUAACCAAUAUGCCGAUGAUUCAAAAAUCGAUACCACCACCUAUUUCCCUCAUUUUUAUUACUUUUGGAAUGGAAGAUCAGCUGUUCAUUGGUUUUCUACAAAGUGUCUACAAUUAAUGACAAUAAUAAUGCCUUAAAACCUACAAUUCUUUUCUUUUCUAUGUUGUGAAGACAUAGGAUCGAGAUGGUUCUAAGACCAUGUGUAGUGGUAAAUCAAAAUAAUGCCCCCACCAUGGGGCAUUAUUCGACACGUGUCAUCCCAGUCAGCAUGGGGCAUUAUAGCAUAAAGUGGCGUAGUGGGGCAUUAUUCCAAUAACGCCCCUUCCAAUUAGAAAAAAACGAAAACAAAAUGGUCAUGUGCAUGUGAGGGUCCCUGUGCAUAUUUCGGUCCCUGUGCAUAUUACUUUUUUUAUUGAAAAAGUAGGGUUAAGAUCAAAAGUUGUCAGAGGCUCUCAAAAAGUGAUUGGUGGGUGACAAAAUGGUCAAAGCAAUUCGAGCGCUUUAAAUAAAACGCCAGCAACAAGAUUUUUAAAAAAUAACGCCGGAAAACGCCGGCCGUAAUGGGGGUGGGGGCGUUUCCGGGUGUUUUUUUGCAAUUUUUUUAAAAAAAAAAAACGCCUCACUACGGAUGGUCUAAGAGCAUUGAUGUCUUUCACCAUUUUUACAUGUACACGUGGAGCAUCAUUCUCAUUUUUCUUAUUGUGGAAGUCAUUUUUCAAAAUUAAAAUAUCAAGUUAGACAAAUAAUCAGAUCAUUCUUCUGGAUUAAGGGCGACACAGAGAUUUCUGCCGGCGACACAGGCGAUACAGCGGUGUUUCUUGGCUGGCGAUUAUUUUGCCGGCGACACAGUGGCACAACGGCGUUUCUUCGGCCAGCGACUGAUUAUUUACACAGCGGCACAGCGACUGAUUAUUUUGCCGGCGACACUGCCGGCGAUUAUUUUGCCGGCGUUUGUUCAGAUUGGAUUGAUUCAAGAUGGAAGAUAAUAUAGAUGCACCAACAUGGGAGAACAUGGCUCAAUCACCAACACUUGAGCCAAAUGUUUUUCAAAUAGCAUCCAAGUAUAAGAUAAAAUUAAAAUAUGGAGGCUACUUUCGAUUAGCUAAGAACUCGGAUAGGAAACGGUAUUGUUUUGGUUAUCAAAAAUGUAUAUACAUUGAUACGUACUCAUACAACUUUGAUGAUUUACUUGAAGAGGUUACAAAUCAUUAUCCAUCAAA